UACGUAGGGGGCGAGCGUUAUCCGGAAUUACUGGGUGUAAAGGGAGCGUAGACGGUAAUGUAAGUCUGGAGUGAAAGGCGGGGGCCCAACCCCCGGACUGCUCUGGAAACUAUGUUACUAGAGUGCAGGAGAGGUAAGCGGAAUUCCUAGUGUAGCGGUGAAAUGCGUAGAUAUUAGGAGGAACACCAGUGGCGAAGGCGGCUUACUGGACUGUAACUGAUGUUGAGGCUCGAAAGCGUGGGGAGCAAACAGG
rnacentral:rRNA from 1 species